CGGGGUGAGUAAUGUAUGGGGAUCUGCCUGAUGGCGGGGGAUAACUACUGGAAACGGUAGCUAAUACCGCAUAAUGUCUGCGGACCAAAGCGGGGGACCUCCGGGCCUCGCGCCAUCAGAUGAACCCAUAUGGGAUUAGCUAGUAGGUAAGGUAACGGCUUACCUAGGCGACGAUCCCUAGCUGGCCUGAGAGGAUGACCAGCCACACUGGAACUGAGACACGGUCCAG
rnacentral:rRNA from 1 species